AUUGAACGCUGGCGGCAGGCCUAACACAUGCAAGUCGAGCGGAUGAAGGGAGCUUGCUCCUGGAUUCAGCGGCGGACGGGUGAGUAAUGCCUAGGAAUCUGCCUGGUAGUGGGGGAUAACGUCCGGAAACGGGAGCUAAUACCGCAUACGUCCUGAGGGAGAAAGUGGGGGAUCUUCGGACCUCACGCUACCAGAUGAGCCUAGGUCGGAUUAGCUAGUUGGUGGGGUAAAGGCCUACCAAGGCGACGAUCCGUAACUGGUCUGAGAGGAUGAUCAGUCACACUGGAACUGAGACACGGUCCAGACUCCUACGGGAGGCAGCAGUGGGGAAUAUUGGACAAUGGGCGAAAGCCUGAUCCAGCCAUGCCGCGUGUGUGAAGAAGGUCUUCGGAUUGUAAAGCACUUUAAGUUGGGAGGAAGGGCAGUAAGUUAAUACCUUGCUGUUUUGACGUUACCAACAGAAUAAGCACCGGCUAACUUCGUG
rnacentral:rRNA from 1 species